rnacentral:rRNA from 1 species
AGCAUAUCAAUAAGCGGAGGAAAAGAAACCAACAGGGAUUGCCCCAGUAACGGCGAGUGAAGCGGCAACAGCUCAAAUUUGAAAUCUGGCCCCUCCGGGUCCGAGUUGUAAUUUGUAGAGGAUGCUUUUGGUGAGGUGCCGCCCGAGUUCCCUGGAACGGGACGCCACAGAGGGUGAGAGCCCCGUCUGGCUGGCCACCGAGCCUCUGUAAAGCUCCUUCGACGAGUCGAGUAGUUUGGGAAUGCUGCUCAAAAUGGGAGGUAUAUGUCUUCUAAAGCUAAAUAUUGGCCAGAGACCGAUAGCGCACAAGUAGAGUGAUCGAAAGAUGAAAAGCACCUUGAAAAGAGGGUUAAACAGUACGUGAAAUUGUUGAAAGGGAAGCGCUUGUGACCAGACUUGGGCGCGGCGGAUCAUCCGGGGUUCUCUCCGGUGCACUUCGCCGCGUUCAGGCCAGCAUCAGUUCGUCGCGGGGGAAAAAGGCUUCGGGAACGUGGCUCCUCCGGGAGUGUUAUAGCCCGUUGCAUAAUACCCUGCGGUGGACUGAGGACCGCGCAUCUGCAAGGAUGCUGGCGUAAUGGUCACCAGCGACCCGUCUUGAAACACGGACCAAGGAGUCGUCUUCGUAUGCGAGUGUUCGGGUGUCAAACCCCUACGCGUAAUGAAAGUGAACGCAGGUGAGAGCUUCGGCGCAUCAUCGACCGAUCCUGAUGUUCUCGGAUGGAUUUGAGUAAGAGCAUACGGGGCCGGACCCGAAAGAAGGUGAACUAUGCCUGUAUAGGGUGAAGCCAGAGGAAACUCUGGUGGAGGCUCGCAGCGGUUCUGACGUGCAAAUCGAUCGUCAAAUAUGGGCAUGGGGGCGAAAGACUAAUCGAACCUUCUAGUAGCUGGUUUCCGCCGAAGU